UCCCUGAUGGCUCAGUUGGUAAAGAAUCUGCCUGUAAUGCAGGAGACCCAGGUUCCAUCCCUGGGUUGGGAA
rnacentral:tRNA from 1 species